rnacentral:lncRNA from 1 species
AGUGUAUAAUUUAUAAUUUUGCACAUAGUAUAAAAUCAUAUCUCUUAUUAUAAUAAAUAAGAAAUAAAAUAGCAUAUUAUAUCUUCUUAUAAGAAUAAGUGAGGGUUAGAUUUAGGGUCAGGAAUAGGGGUUAUGGUCAGGGAUAGGGUUUAGGGUCAGGGGUUAGGUUUUGGGUUAGGCCAUGGCAUCACAGCAGGGAGGGGACAAGGACAUGAGGAGUUUGAGGGAUCCCAGUGUUAUUUUGGGGGCUCUGGGGAUGUUUCAAGGUGUCCAUCGGGUGUUUGUGCGUGGUUUGGUUUUUUUUCUGAGGUGUUUCAGGGGUGCUUCUGGGUGUCCUGUGGGGUGUUUUGGAGUGGUUUGCUGUUCUGGGGGGGUGUUUGGGUUUAUUCAGGGGGUGGUUUUGGGGUGGUUUGUGGUGUUUCAGGGGUACUUUAAGAGUGUUUAGAGGCUUAGGGUGGUGUUGGGUAUGUUUGGGGGAGUCCUGAAGUGUUACAGGGUAUUUUGGGGGUCGUCUAGGGACUCCUCCAAACAUACCCAACACCACCCUAAGCCUCUAAACACUCUUAAAAUACUGCUGAAACACCACAAACCACCCCAAAACCACCCCCUGAGUAAACCCAAACACCCUGAAAUAACUUUCAAACACCACCCUCCAAUGCACUCGAAUACCCCCAAGGCCCCUCAGAACACCCCUCAAACACCCAAAACGACCCAAAAAUGCCCCCCAGAGCAGCAAACCACUCUAAAAAAACCCCACAGGACACCCAGAAGCACCCCUAAAACACCUCAAAAAAAACCCAAGUCACGCCCAAACACCCGAUGGACACCUUGAAACAUGCCCAGAGCCCCCCAAAUAACACUGGGAUCCCUCAAACUCCUCAUAACCCUGUAACUGACCACAACCCCUAUUCCUGACCCUAAAUCUUACCCUCACUUAUUUUUAUAAGAAGAUAUAAUAUGUUAUUUUAAUUCUUAUUUAUUAUAAUAAGAGAUAUGAUUUUAUACUACAUGCAAAU